rnacentral:rRNA from 1 species
AUCAACUUUCGAUGGUAGGAUAGAGGCCUACCAUGGUGGUAACGGGUAACGGGGUGUUAGGGCACGACACCGGAGAGGGAGCCUGAGAAACGGCUACCACAUCCAAGGAUGGCAGCAGGCGCGCAAAUUACCCAAUCCCGACACGGGGAGGUAGUGACAAUAAAUAACAAUACGGGGUUCUUUCGGAUUUCGUAAUUGGAAUGAGUACAAUUUAAAUCUCUUAACGAGGAACAAUUGGAGGGCAAGUCUGGUGCCAGCAGCCGCGGUAAUUCCAGCUCCAAUAGCGUAUAUUAAAGUUGUUGCAGUUAAAAAGCUCGUAGUUGAAUUUCGGGGUCAGUAGAUUGGUCGUGCCACUGGUAUGCACUGGUCUUACUGGCUCCUCCUUCCUGAUGAACCGUAAUGCCAUUAAUUUGGUGUUGCGGGGAGACUGGACUGUUACUUUGAAAAAAUUAGAGUGUUUAAAGCAGGCUAACGCUUGAAUACAUUAGCAUGGAAUAAUGAAAUAGGACGUUCGAUCUUAUUUUGUUGGUUUCUAAGAUUGACGUAAUGAUUAAUAGGGAUAGUUGGGGGCAUUAGUAUUCAAUUGUCAGAGGUGAAAUUCUUGGAUUUAUUGAAGACUAACUACUGCGAAAGCAUUUGCCAAGGAUGUUUUCAUUAAUCAAGAACGAAAGUUAGGGGAUCGAAGACGAUCAGAUACCGUCGUAGUCUUAACCAUAAACUAUGCCGACUAGGGAUCGGAUGAUGUUAAUUUUAUAAUGACUCAUUCGGCGCCUUACGGGAAACCAAAGUGUUUGGGUUC